rnacentral:lncRNA from 1 species
GGAAUAGGAAACGUUUUCAGCCAUUGUACAUUAUUGAACUUUUAUUUUGUCUACCGUGUACAAAGUACCUGUGAGAUGGGGAUACAAAGACAUUUUCCAAAUUUUGGGCUCCAGUCGAUUCUUGUGUAUUACGCUGUGAGCAAGACUUGCAUGUCGUCACAGAGAACGGGGCACUAUCCCUGAUAAAGAUUGUGGGAGUUGGCUUCCUACAGCAUCGAUCACAUGGCUUUAACCCACGAGCAAGAUGGCUGAAGCUGAAGAAUGGGCUGGAUCACAAAAAUAGAUUUUCUGUCUGAG